rnacentral:rRNA from 1 species
AUUGAACGCCGGCGGCAGGCCUAACACAUGCAAGUCGAGCGGAUGAAGGGAGCUUGCUCCUGGAUUCAGCGGCGGACGGGUGAGUAAUGCCUAGGAAUCUGCCUGGUAGUGGGGGAUAACGUCCGGAAACGGGCGCUAAUACCGCAUACGUCCUGAGGGAGAAAGUGGGGGAUCUUCGGACCUCACGCUAUCAGAUGAGCCUAGGUCGGAUUAGCUAGUUGGUGGGGUAAAGGCCUACCAAGGCGACGAUCCGUAACUGGUCUGAGAGGAUGAUCAGUCACACUGGAACUGAGACACGGUCCAGACUCCUACGGGAGGCAGCAGUGGGGAAUAUUGGACAAUGGGCGAAAGCCUGAUCCAGCCAUGCCGCGUGUGUGAAGAAGGUCUUCGGAUUGUAAGGCACUUUAAGUUGGGAGGAAGGGCAGUAAGUUAAUACCUUGCUGUUUUGACGUUACCAACAGAAUAAGCACCGGCUAACUUCGUG